rnacentral:lncRNA from 1 species
UUUGACGUAAAGCCAGUUGUGCCCCAAACUUCAACUAGUGAUGGCGAGGAUAGUGGCGAGAGAAACUUAGAACAGGGCAUUGGCCUGGAAGAUUAGGGUUAGCCUAGCAAAGCCACGUGUGUUUCCGUGUUUUCAGCAAUGAGUGGACACAGGUAUGAAGAACACGAAGGGAAGAUUAAAUGGAAAUUUUACUUCCAUAAUCUCGCUUGAAUUAAUUUCUUAUUCUCUUUCCCACUACAGUAGUCAUGUUGGGAUUAUUUCAAGAGUUUCCUGUCUCCCUGUAUCCAGUCAUUAUAUUGGUCUGCGAGUUUCUAAACAAAUGAAUCGCCA